GACGGGGGACCGGAGACAUUCCCCACCCCCCACGGGGAGAGGGGAGACAGGCGCUGCCCCUAGAUCGCACUCUGAGUCGCAGGCAAGCAGACGUCGCGAGCUCACCGAGGUAACGGCCCCGCAGCGCGACGUGCUUAAAAGGUAGUAAGUGCCAGGGGGGUGGGCGGGGACCUCGAGGAUGCGGACCUCACCCCAGGCCGGGGCCCUAUCCCGCGGGGGCGGCCGGUGGCUAGGCGGCGUUGGAAAGGCGAUGAGCCAGGGCGCCCAGAUAGGCGAUGACCACCGGGAAUCCGCUCCGCCGGGAGGCAGACGAUGGCUAAAACGGCCUCUGAGAGGAUGUCAAUUACAAGAACAAAAAUCUCAACCCAGAACCGCAAGACUUUCAUAAAGCGACGCAGGGGGUCAUAUUAUAUUCCCUCCUCCCCGAAUCGCGGGGAGACUUACCUCCAGGGAAGCGACCCGACUGUUGAGUAGCACGCACCAAUCCACGGAUGGAGACGAGGUCGUGGGUCAUCAAGCCCCGCCGAGAUGCACCAAGUAAUCCACGGUAGAGGGUCCGGAGGCCCGGUCCCCAUUUCCAUCCAAGGCCAAAGCGCCGGCCGUCCCGGCCUCGGCGCCCGGGACCCGCGGAGAUUGCGCGCGGGUUCGCCGGCCCGGGCUCCCCAGGGGCGCCCCGCCGAUCGCAGCCCGCCUCCCUGCGCUCUGAGAGCACCCAGCUCGGACGCAGCAGCUCGCCUUUCUUCACUGCGUAUCACCAGCGCGACCCCAGGAAUCCCCGCCGGGAACCCCUCUGCCAAGCCCGGAAAAGCAUUAGGGGCAGAGGCAGUCUGGGCCUCGGGUCUACAGAUAAAAGGAAAUAAAAAUUAGAGGCUGAUGUAGAAGUGAUUAAGGCAAAGGCUAAGAUGUGAGAAAUAAGCACAUGCAAGGGAGAUGACCAGAAAGGAAAGCAGAGUAGCUACACUCUUCUGCUUGAGGACCUCAGCACAGGUGCGAGACAGCAUCAUUCCAGGGAAGCACGCAGCCUUGACUGCCAGUGGCCGUCAUUUGCACCCAAGCCGGUGACCAGCCUCAGGAUGAAGGCAUCCCUGGUGCUGGGAGAGCUGAAAUGAAAGAACAGGGGUCCCCGGUAACAUCACUGAUCCUCCACUGAACCCACUGGUCCCAGAGUCUGUCUUACCACUAGACCUCUAAGUACGUGUCUUCACCGUUUAACUUCUCCUGAGUUAUGUCAGGGAGGGUUUGCGUCACUCACCCAGAAGGUAUCUCUGACUAAACAGUCAUGUUGACUGCUCCAGGCUGAAGUCUGAAUGCCUAGCCCACUCUGGCACCAACUCUGCUGUGUGCUCUUGGAGAAGUGACUCAACCUUCCUGGACCUGUUCACUCCAUCUCAAACAUGGGGAAAAUUUUUCCUGUCCCUCCUUAUUUUGCAAGGUGACUUUGAAAACCAGUGCAGGGACUUCCCUGGUAGGCCAGUGGUUAAGACUUCGUCUUCCACUGGAGGGGCUGUGGGUUCAAUUCCUUGUCAGGGAGCUUGUCAGACCACGGAUGGUCAAUUUCAAGAGGACUGUCUCAGCUGACUGUGCUGUUUCUGCCUGUAGCCACCCUUCCCACCACUCCCUACUGCCGUGAAAGCUCCUGUCCUCUGAUCAUCAGUGGGGAGGACCGGCCUUUGGACAGGCUUCCACCUGCCCACCCCAGCAGCCACCAUCCAAAAUAAAGCAAACUUUCCUUUCUACCA
ensembl:lncRNA